rnacentral:rRNA from 1 species
GCGUUGUCCGGAAUUACUGGGCGUAAAGAGCGCGUAGGCGGCGCUGUACGACCGCGGUGAAAGCCCCCGGCUCAACUGGGGAGGGUCCGUGGUAACGGCAGUGCUCUGAGUGCAGGAGAGGGAAGUGGAACUCCGGGAGUAGCGGUGAAAUGCGUAGAGACCCGGAGGAACACCAGUGGCGAAGGCGGCUUCCUGGUCUGCGACUGACGCUGUGGCGCGAAAGCUA